rnacentral:rRNA from 1 species
UACGAAGGGGGCGAGCGUUGUUCGGAAUUACUGGGCGUAAAGGGCGCGUAGGCGGCCGAGCAAGUUAGAUGUGAAAGUCCUGGGCUUAACCUGGGGACUGCAUUUGAUACUGCUUGGCUUGAAUUCGGGAGAGGAUAGCGGAAUUCCCAGUGUAGAGGUGAAAUUCGUAGAUAUUGGGAAGAACACCGGUGGCGAAGGCGGCUAUCUGGACCGACAUUGACGCUGAGGCGCGAAAGCGUGGGGAGCAAACAGGAGUUAGAAACCCCAG